UAUCGAAGGGGGGCUAGCGUUGGCUCGGGAAUCAGCUGGGCGUAAAGGGGCGCGUAGGCGGGCGUUUUUAAGUUCGGGGGUGAAAAGCCUGUGGCUCAACCACAGAAUGGCCUCGAUACUGGGGACGGCCUUUGGAGUAUGGGUAGAGGUUGGUGGAACUGCGAGUGUAGAGGUGAAAUUCGUGAGAUAUUCGCAAGAACACCGGUGGCCGAAGGCGGC
rnacentral:rRNA from 1 species